rnacentral:rRNA from 1 species
GAUGAACGCUGGCGGCGUGCCUAACACAUGCAAGUCGAACGAAGCACCUUUUAAGAUUCUUCGGAUGAUUGAUCGGUGACUGAGUGGCGGACGGGUGAGUAACGCGUGGGAAACCUGCCCUGUACAGGGGGAUAACAGUUGGAAACGGCUGCUAAUACCGCAUAAGCGCACGAGAGGACAUCCUCUUGUGUGAAAAACUCCGGUGGUACAGGAUGGGCCCGCGUCUGAUUAGCUGGUUGGCAGGGUAACGGCCUACCAAGGCGACGAUCAGUAGCCGGUCUGAGAGGGUGAACGGCCACAUUGGAACUGAGACACGGUCCAAACUCCUACGGGAGGCAGCAGUGGGGAAUAUUGCACAAUGGGGGAAACCCUGAUGCAGCAACGCCGCGUGAGUGAAGAAGUAUUUCGGUAUGUAAAGCUCUAUCAGCAGGGAAGAUAAUGACGGUACCUGACUAAGAAGCUCCGGCUAAAUACGUGCCAGCCGCCGCAGUAA